rnacentral:rRNA from 1 species
GAGCUGAGAAACGGCUACCACAUCCAAGGAAGGCAGCAGGCGCGCAAAUUACCCACUCCCGGCACGGGGAGGUAGUGACGAAAAAUAACGAUACGGGACUCAUCCGAGGCCCCGUAAUCGGAAUGAGUACACUUUAAAUCCUUUCACGAGGAGCAAUUGGAGGGAAAGUCUGGUGCCAGCAGCCGCGGUAAUUCAGCUCCAAUAGCGUAUAUUAAAGUUGUUGCGGUUAAAAAGCUCGUAGUUGAAUCUGUGUGCCACGCUGACGGUGCUCCGCUCGCGGCGAAACUGAUCAGAUUGUGGCACGUCCUACCGGUGGGCUUAGCUCCUCAGGGAGCGGUCCAACUUAUAUCCCAUCGCGGUGCUCUUCACUGAGUGCUGAGGUGGGCCGGUACGUUUACUUUGAACAAAUUAGAGUGCUCAAAGCAGGCUAUUUUCGCCUGAAUACUGUGUGCAUGGAAUAAUGGAAUAGGACCUCGGUUCUAUUUUGUUGGUUUUCGGAACCCCGAGGUAAUGAUUAAUAGGGACAGAUGGGGGCAUUCGUAUUGCGACGUUAGAGGUGAAAUUCUUGGAUCGUCGCA